UACGAGAGGUCCAAGCGUUAAUCGGAAUCACUGGGCUUAAAGGGUGCGUAGGCGGGCCUGUAAGUGUUCUGUGAAAUCCCAUGGCUCAACCAUGGAAUUGCAGGGCAUACUGCGGGUCUUGAGGAAUCUAGAGGCCGGCGGAACGAUAGGUGGAGCGGUGGAAUGCGUAGAUAUCUAUCGGAACGCCAAAGGUGAAGACAGCCGGCUGGGGAUUUCCUGACGCUGAGGCACGAAAGCGUGGGGAUCAAACAGG
rnacentral:rRNA from 1 species